ACAAAGGCCAUGAAGGAGAAAAAGGAUAUGCACAGCCUGUACAGAGAGCCGGCGGCAGGUGUGAGCCGGACAGAGGGCAUAUCGUAUAACUCGCUCCUGAGCUGCAGCCUGAAGGUUUAGUAGGGUGUGCCGGGCAGUGCCCGUUAAAGCAUAAAGUCGUGUCAGCGACUUAGUGAGGCCGUCGUUGUGAGGCGAUGGCGAAGUUGGGUGGUAUCACGGAAGCUAACCCCUUUCGUCCCGUAA
rnacentral:ncRNA from 1 species